rnacentral:rRNA from 1 species
UACAGAGGUCUCAAGCGUUGUUCGGAUUCACUGGGCGUAAAGGGUGCGUAGGUGGUGGGGUAAGUCGGAUGUGAAAUCUCCAGGCUCAACCUGGAAAUGGCAUUGGAAACUACCUUGCUAGAGGGUUUGAGGGGGGACUGGAAUACUUGGUGUAGCAGUGAAAUGCGUAGAUAUCAAGUGGAACACCAGUGGCGAAGGCGAGUCCCUGGAAAAUACCUGACACUGAGGCACGAAAGCUAGGGGAGCAAACAGG